GUUCUGGAGGCUACAGGUCCAAGAGAAGGAUGCCACGGCAAUGCAGUUCUUGUGAAGCUAGGUUAUGGCCUUUUGGAGGAAGACAACAGAGGACUCAGACUGAAAGACAGGCUCUUCUUUGGUCUCAAAACUACCAGCUUUUGGACUGGACCUUAAACUAUCAGCAAUCCUGGUUUUCAGCCCUUUG